UACGGAGGGUGCAAGCGUUGUUCGGAAUUAUUGGGCGUAAAGCGCGUGUAGGCGGUUUGUUAAGUCUGAUGUGGAAGCCCCGGGCUCAACCUGGGAAGUGCAUUGGAUACUGGCAGACUUGAGUACGGGAGAGGGAAGUGGAAUUCUUAGUGUAGGAGUGAAAUCCGUAGAUAUUAGGAGGAACACCGGUGGCGAAGGCGGCUUCCUGGACCGAUACUGACGCUGAGACGCGAAAGCGUGGGGAGCAAAC
rnacentral:rRNA from 1 species